rnacentral:rRNA from 1 species
UCCUCAAACGGGGGCAUGUGCACGCUCUGUUUACACAUCCACUCACACCUGUGCACCCUCUGUAGUUCUAUGGUCUGGGGGACAUGCCAUCUUCCUCCCGUGGUUCUACGUCUUUACACACACGCCGUAGUGAAGUCUUAUGGAAUGUGCGCCGCGUUUAACGCAAUACAAUACAACUUUCAGCAACGGAUCUCUUGGCUCUCGCAUCGAUGAAGAACGCAGCGAAAUGCGAUAAGUAAUGUGAAUUGCAGAAUUCAGUGAAUCAUCGAAUCUUUGAACGCACCUUGCGCCCCUUGGCCAUUCCGAGGGGCAUGCCUGUUUGAGUAUCAUGAACACCUCAACUCUCACGGUUUGCCAUGAUGAGAUUGGACUUUGGGGGUUUUGCUGGCCAUGCGGUUAGCUCCUCUCAAAUGAAUCAGCUUGCCAGUGUUUGGUGGCGUCACGGGUGUGAUAACUGUCUACGCUUGUGGUCGUCUGCCAGGGUGACCUUCAGUGAUGAAGGCU